GGAUUGUAGGCUGCAACUCGCCUACAUGAAGUCGGAAUUGCUAGUAAUCGCGGAUCAGCAUGCCGCGGUGAAUACGUUCCCGGGCCUUGUACACACCGCCCGUCACACCAUGGGAGUCGGUAACACCCGAAGCCUGUAGUCUAACCGCAAGGGGGACGCAGUCGAAGGUGGGAUUGAUGACUGGGGUGAAGUCGUAACAAGGUACC
rnacentral:rRNA from 1 species